rnacentral:rRNA from 1 species
UGGGGAAUAUUGGACAAUGGGCGAAAGCCUGAUCCAGCCAUGCCGCGUGAGUGAUGACGGCCUUAGGGUUGUAAAGCUCUUUCAUCAGGGACGUACUACCGGUUAAUAACCGGUGGGGCUGACGGUACCUGAGGAAUAAGCACCGGCUAACUUC